AUCAAAGGCACUUUUUUACAAGGAUGACGAUGUGGUCGUGUUGGAAGUGCAGUCAGCUGCAGCAGGUCAGGUGUUGGAGAUGCCAUGCAGGCAGCAGGUUCUUGAGGAGGUAAGGAUGUUUAAGUUGUCUUGUACACUAUUUGGGGCAGUGUUUUUCAAACAGUUUCCAGUGUGUACCAUCUUAGAAAAUGUAGAGUUCUCCAAGUCCCACCAUCAUGACCAACCACUUUUGGUUUGAACCAUUAUUGGGUCAGUUCUAUUUAUAAGGAUUAAUUUUAACACUAAAACAGAGACCAUAUUACUAAAUCCGACUACAUUUGGAGAAUGUUGUAUUUCACUGGAUGUCUUUAAAACAAAAACAGCAUUCAUGUUUCUACAGCUUUGAGGUGAAAUGUAAGCCGGACAUUUAUGUUGUCAACAUGUUCCUAUUUGGGCAGUGUACUUAUCUAAUUUGUAAACUCAGUUAGUCGUUGCCUUGGAUUUUUUUCUGGAUUUAUUGUUUUUUGGUGGCUUGUCCAGUUGUGUGUACAUGGUGAACAGUAUUGGCAGUUGAUAUUUACCUGGUACAGUAAAAAGUACUUCUAUUCUCUUUGUGGAAAGGCAGAUGAGGUCCAGUGUCCAGUGUGCAACAACAUGUUUCCUGCUUUGGAAAUUCAGAUGCAUGCUAGCCACUGUGGUGAAAGGCUUGAACAGAGUGCUUUUUGGGAGCCUGAAGCAGAGAAUGCUGAUCUGGAUCAUAUUUUGAGUGAAGAAGAUGUUAUCCGCUGGGUAAAAAGACAAAUGGAUACCAGCAAGACAUUUGACUUGUGUGAUGCUGUGAAAACCCGACCUACCCCCCCGCCUUCAGAUUGUGGUCUCUGCAUAGCGAGGUCAUCAAAAUGGAGGAACUCAAUGCGCUCUGUGCUUUCCCAUGACCUCCCUCCCACCUGUGGAUACAGUUGGCUGAGCGCCAAAUGGGCUGCUCCCGCUGAGGAAACCAGGAUCCCAGCCUCCCUCCCCCCCCCUUCCAGGUCUCAUGAUGUGAACUGUGACGUUCGUGCUUAUAUGUUGAGGUGUUUUUUUGCAUAG
rnacentral:lncRNA from 1 species